rnacentral:rRNA from 1 species
AGUCGAACGGUGAAGCCAAGCUUGCUUGGUGGAUCAGUGGCGAACGGGUGAGUAACACGUGAGCAACCUGCCCUGGACUCUGGGAUAAGCGCUGGAAACGGCGUCUAAUACUGGAUAUGAGACGUGAUCGCAUGGUCGUGUUUGGAAAGAUUUUUCGGUCUGGGAUGGGCUCGCGGCCUAUCAGCUUGUUGGUGAGGUAAUGGCUCACCAAGGCGUCGACGGGUAGCCGGCCUGAGAGGGUGACCGGCCACACUGGGACUGAGACACGGCCCAGACUCCUACGGGAGGCAGCAGUGGGGAAUAUUGCACAAUGGGCGGAAGCCUGAUGCAGCAACGCCGCGUGAGGGAUGACGGCCUUCGGGUUGUAAACCUCUUUUAGCAGGGAAGAAGCGAAAGUGACGGUACCUGCAGAAAAAGCGCCGGCUAACUACGUGCCAGCAGCCGCGGUAAUACGUAGGGCGCAAGCGUUAUCCGGAAUUAUUGGGCGUAAAGAGCUCGUAGGCGGUUUGUCGCGUCUGCUGUGAAAUCCCGAGGCUCAACCUCGGGCCUGCAGUGGGUACGGGCAGACUAGAGUGCGGUAGGGGAGAUUGGAAUUCCUGGUGUAGCGGUGGAAUGCGCAGAUAUCAGGAGGAACACCGAUGGCGAAGGCAGAUCUCUGGGCCGUAACUGACGCUGAGGAGCGAAAGGGUGGGGAGCAAACAGGCUUAGAUACCCUGGUAGUCCACCCCGUAAACGUUGGGAACUAGUUGUGGGGACCAUUCCACGGUUUCCGUGACGCAGCUAACGCAUUAAGUUCCCCGCCUGGGGAGUACGGCCGCAAGGCUAAAACUCAAAGGAAUUGACGGGGACCCGCACAAGCGGCGGAGCAUGCGGAUUAAUUCGAUGCAACGCGAAGAACCUUACCAAGGCUUGACAUAUACGAGAACGGGCCAGAAAUGGUCAACUCUUUGGACACUCGUAAACAGGUGGUGCAUGCUUGUCGUCAGCUCGUGUCGUGAGAUGUUGGGUUAAGUCCCGCAACGAGCGCAACCCUCGUUCUAUGUUGCCAGCACGUAAUGGUGGGAACUCAUGGGAUACUGCCGGGGUCAACUCGGAGGAAAGGGUGGGGAUGACGUUCAAACACAUGGCCCCUUAUUUCUUGGGCUUCCGCAUGCUACAUGGCCGGUACAAAGGGCUGCAAUACCGUAAGGUGGAGCGAAUCCCAAAAAGCCGGUCCCAGUUCGGAUUGAGGUCUGCAACUCGACCUCAUGAAGUCGGAGUCGCUAGUAAUCGCAGAUCAGCAACGCUGCGGUGAAUACGUUCCCGGGUCUUGUACACACCGCCCGUCAAGUCAUGAAAGUCGGUAACACCUGAAGCCGGUGGCCCAACCCUUGUGGAGGGAGCCGUCG